GGUGCAGGGUGCUCAGUGGUAGAGUGCAUGCCUAGCAUGCACGAGGUCCUAGGUUCAAUUCCCAGUACCGCCA
rnacentral:tRNA from 1 species